rnacentral:rRNA from 1 species
AACGAACGCUGGCGGCAGGCUUAACACAUGCAAGUCGAGCGCCCCGCAAGGGGAGCGGCAGACGGGUGAGUAACGCGUGGGAAUCUACCGUGCCCUACGGAAUAACGCAUGGAAACGUGUGCUAAUACCGUAUACGCCCUACGGGGGAAAGAUUUAUCGGGGUAUGAUGAGCCCGCGUUGGAUUAGCUAGUUGGUGGGGUAAAGGCCUACCAAGGCGACGAUCCAUAGCUGGUCUGAGAGGAUGAUCAGCCACACUGGGACUGAGACACGGCCCAGACUCCUACGGGAGGCAGCAGUGGGGAAUCUUAGACAAUGGGGGAAACCCUGAUCUAGCCAUGCCGCGUGAUCGAUGAAGGCCUUAGGGUUGUAAAGAUCUUUCAGUGGGGAAGAUAAUGACUGUACCCACAGAAGAAGCCCCGGCUAACUCCGUGCCAGCCGCCGCGGUAACAC